UACAGAGGGUGCGAGCGUUGUUCGGAAUUACUGGGCGUAAAGGGCUCGUAGGCGGCCAACUAAGUCAGACGUGAAAUCCCUCAGCUUAACUGGGGAACUGCGUCUGAUACUGGAUGGCUUGAGUUUGGGAGAGGGAUGCGGAAUUCCAGGUGUAGCGGUGAAAUGCGUAGAUAUCAGGAAGAACACCCGUGGCUAAGGCGGCUCUCUAGUACGGUACUGACGCUGAGACGCGAAAGCGUGGGGAGCGAACAGG
rnacentral:rRNA from 1 species